UACGUAGGGGGCAAGCGUUGUCCGGAUUUAUUGGGCGUAAAGAGCGUGUAGGCGGCCAGACAAGUCUGCUGUGAAAACUCGAGGCUCAACCUCGAGCUGUCGGCGGAAACUGUUUGGCUAGAGUCCGGAAGAGGAGAGUGGAAUUCCGGGUGUAGUGGUGGAAUGCGUAGAGAUCCGGAGGAACACCAGCGGCGAAGGCGGCGUCCUGGACUGGUACUGACGCUCAUGCACGAAAGCGUGGGGAGCAAACAGG
rnacentral:rRNA from 1 species